UACGGAGGGGGCUAGCGUUGUUCGGAAUUACUGGGCGUAAAGCGCACGUAGGCGGCUUUGUAAGUUAGAGGUGAAAGCCCGGGGCUCAACUCCGGAAUUGCCUUUAAGACUGCAUCGCUAGAAUUGUGGAGAGGUAAGUGGAAUUCCGAGUGUAGAGGUGAAAAUUCGUAGAUAUUCGGAAGAACACCAGUGGCGAAGGCGACUUACUGGACACAUAUUGACGCUGAGGUGCGAAAGCGUGGGGAGCAAACAGG
rnacentral:rRNA from 1 species